rnacentral:rRNA from 1 species
CCUACGGGUGGCUGCAGUCGAGGAUCUUCGGCAAUGGACGCAAGUCUGACCGAGCGACGCCGCGUGCGGGAUGAAGGCUUUCGGGUUGUAAACCGCUGUCAGUGGGGAGGCCUAUCCGCAGAGGAAGCAAGGGCUAAGUUCGUGCCAGCAGCCGCGGUAAGACGAACCUUGCUAACGUUAUUCGGAAUUACUGGGCUUAAAGGGUGCGUAGGCGGUGCAGAAAGUCGGGUGUGAAAUCCCCCAGCUCAACUGAGGAAUUGCGCCCGAAACUACUGUGCUAGAGAAAGAUAGAGGUACGCGGAACUUAGGGUGGAGCGGUGAAAUGCGUUGAUAUCCUAAGGAACACCGGUGGCGAAAGCGGCGUACUGGGUUUUCUGACGCUGAGGCACGAAAGCUAGGGUAGCGAACGGGAUUAGAUACCCUUGUAGUC